rnacentral:rRNA from 1 species
UACGAAGGGGGCUAGCGUUGCUCGGAAUGACUGGGCGUAAAGGGUGCGCAGGUGGGUUUGCAAGUUCGAUGUGAAAGCCCCGGGCUUAACCCGGGAAUGGCAUUGGAUACUGCAGAUCUGGAGGAUCGGAGGGGGGACUGGAAUUCUUGGUGUAGCAGUGAAAUGCGUAGAUAUCAAGAGGAACACCAGUGGCGAAGGCGAGUCCCUGGACGAUACCUGACACUGAGGCACGAAAGCUAGGGGAGCAAACAGG